rnacentral:rRNA from 1 species
CGUGCGGCAGCUAUACAUGCAAGUAGAACGCUGAAGAGAGGAGCUUGCUCUUCUUGGAUGAGUUGCGAACGGGUGAGUAACGCGUAGGUAACCUGCCUUGUAGCGGGGGAUAACUAUUGGAAACGAUAGCUAAUACCGCAUAACAAUGGAUGACACAUGUCAUUUAUUUGAAAGGGGCAAUUGCUCCACUACAAGAUGGACCUGCGUUGUAUUAGCUAGUAGGUGAGGUAAUGGCUCACCUAGGCGACGAUACAUAGCCGACCUGAGAGGGUGAUCGGCCACACUGGGACUGAGACACGGCCCAGACUCCUACGGGAGGCAGCAGUAGGGAAUCUUCGGCAAUGGGGGCAACCCUGACCGAGCAACGCCGCGUGAGUGAAGAAGGUUUUCGGAUCGUAAAGCUCUGUUGUAAGUCAAGAACGGGUGUGAGAGUGGAAAGUUCACACUGUGACGGUAGCUUACCAGAAAGGGACGGCUAACUACGUGCCAGCAGCCGCGGUAAUACGUAGGUCCCGAGCGUUGUCCGGAUUUAUUGGGCGUAAAGCGAGCGCAGGCGGUUUGAUAAGUCUGAAGUUAAAGGCUGUGGCUCAACCAUAGUUCGCUUUGGAAACUGUCAAACUUGAGUGCAGAAGGGGAGAGUGGAAUUCCAUGUGUAGCGGUGAAAUGCGUAGAUAUAUGGAGGAACACCGGUGGCGAAAGCGGCUCUCUGGUCUGUAACUGACGCUGAGGCUCGAAAGCGUGGGGAGCGAACAGGAUUAGAUACCCUGGUAGUCCACGCCGUAAACGAUGAGUGCUAGGUGUUGGAUCCUUUCCGGGAUUCAGUGCCGCAGCUAACGCAUUAAGCACUCCGCCUGGGGAGUACGACCGCAAGGUUGAAACUCAAAGGAAUUGACGGGGGCCCGCACAAGCGGUGGAGCAUGUGGUUUAAUUCGAAGCAACGCGAAGAACCUUACCAGGUCUUGACAUCCCGAUGCUAUUUCUAGAGAUAGAAAGUUACUUCGGUACAUCGGGUGACAGGUGGCUGCAUGGUUGUCGUCAGCUCGUGUCGUGAGAUGUUGGGUUUAAGUCCCGCACGAGCGCACCCCUAUUGAUACUGCCAUCAUCAGUGGCACCUCUAGCGAGACUGCCGGUUAAAUAAACCCG